GAUUCUGGCUCAGGAUGAACGCUGGCGGCGUGCCUAACACAUGCAAGUCGAACGAAGCACUUUGGUUGAUCCUUCGGGUGAUACUUUUGUGACUGAGUGGCGGACGGGUGAGUAACGCGUGGGUAACCUGCCCUGUACAGGGGGAUAACAGCCAGAAAUGGCUGCUAAUACCGCAUAAGCGCACGGAAGGACAUCCUUCAGUGUGAAAAACUCCGGUGGUACAGGAUGGGCCCGCGUCUGAUUAGCUUGUUGGCGGGGUAAAGGCCCACCAAGGCGACGAUCAGUAGCCGGUCUGAGAGGAUGAACGGCCACAUUGGAACUGAGACACGGUCCAAACUCCUACGGGAGGCAGCAGUGGGGAAUAUUGCACAAUGGGGGAAACCCUGAUGCAAGCAACGCCGCGUGAGUGAAGAAGUAUUUCGGUAUGUAAAGCUCUAUCAGCAGGGAAGAUAAUGACGGUACCUGACUAAGAAGCUCCGGCUAAAUACGUGCCAGCCGCGGC
rnacentral:rRNA from 1 species